UACGUAGGGUGCAAGCGUUAAUCGGAAUUACUGGGCGUAAAGCGUGCGCAGGCGGUUUGUAAGUCUGUCGUGAAAUCCCCGGGCUCAACCUGGGAAUUGCGAUGGAGACUGCAAGGCUAGAAUCUGGCAGAGGGGGGUAGAAUUCCACGUGUAGCAGUGAAAUGCGUAGAGAUGUGGAGGAACACCGAUGGCGAAGGCAGCCCCCUGGGAUAACACUGACGCUCAUGCACGAAAGGCGUGGG
rnacentral:rRNA from 1 species